CGGCGUGGGGUGUUUGAGUGAGGGGGGUCUACAAUGCAGUCGAACGGUAGCAAGAGAGCUUGCUCUCGGGUGACGAGUGGCGGAUGGGUGAGUAAUGUCUGGGAAACUGCCUGAUGGAGGGGGAUAACUACUGGAAACGGUAGCUAAUACCGCAUAAUGUCGCAAGACCAAAGAGGGGGACUUCGGGCCUCUUGCCAUCAGAUGUGCCCGGAUGGUAUUAGCUAGUAGGUGGGGUAACGGCUCCCUAGGCGACGAUCCCUAGCUGGUUGAGAGGAUGACAGCCACACUGGAACUGAGACACGGUCCAGAUUCCUACGGGAGGCAGCAGUGGUUAAUAUUGCUCAAUGGGCGCAAGUCUGAUGGAGCCAUGCCGCGAGUA
rnacentral:rRNA from 1 species